CCAUCCCUCUGGCUCCUUCUGGAGGCCCAGGAUUCUGUCCCAGGACCUAACUCAUAGUUGCUGAGAAAAAGAACCCAUGAUCCAAGCAAGUCGAACUGAGGGUACCUUCGAUGAUGGCAGAGCAGCCCCUGCCCUGACGGACAUCACCAUCUAGUUAAGAAGAACCCACACCCUCGGGGAUGCCUACUUCUUGUUUUGGAGUCUUGCCUCAUUUCCUCCUUCAUGCUAAGUGAUGCCGUUUUUAUUUGCGGAUGCUGGAGCAGAGUGUCUUCUUAGCAUCCUGCCUGCCUUCCCCCAUUUUCACAUUCAUCUACUGGUAAAUCACGUGCUUGAGUGUAUUUUACCUAACGUUCUAGAACAGAUCAGGGAAAGCCCCCUCGCUUUCUAGGAACGUUGGCCGCUAUGUGAAGGACUCAGAUGACUGCUCCCUCAUUCAGUUCUGGCUUUGACUCACUCAUUCUCACAGGUUGGGGUCAGGAACUGUGGAAACGUGACAUCUCUCUGCUCCACACUCUUCUGUAGACUGGGAAUUUUCUCAGCUUGGGCAGGGAGGGGCCACUUUUCUACCAAUGUCCAUCCUGGGGCUCAAGGUGCUUACCUGCCUUGGGCCUAGCUGGUCAAGGUUAUGGCGAUGGUCUGCGUUAGACUUCGGAGUAGUAGCCUGAGAAUCUUCUCCAUUCUCUGCUAGCAAAUCCAGAGGAGAUGAGGUUGGGGUCAAAGCAUUCCUCUUUGCUGUCACUUCGGCAGGGACACCUAAAUGUAGUUGGUGUUUCUCUUUAGGCUGCUUAGUGCUUUACAUGGCGAUGCCCCUGUCCACAUGUGGGCUACUAGUUCCCAUUGCAUUGGGACACCGUCAGAGCAGCUCCUGACCAGGACACAACUGUUUGCUGUGUAAAAGAAGACAUGGAAGAGCAGUGAUCCUGGUGGUGAAAGAAUCUAGCACAGCCCAGACAGAGAGAAUUUACUGAACACUGCAGGAGAGUAGACGGCAACUUCCCAGAAGAGAGUAUUGCAUCAGGAAAGGGGUUAGCAGCUGAGGGGGAGUUAUUUGGUCUUAUCAUAUUGGGAUUCACUUGUGACCUCUAUCUUGAGGCACCCUGCAGACCUCUCAUCUUCUUGUUAAUUAUUCUUGAGACUCCUCCUUUGUGUAAUAAGAUGUCAUGGGAUGUUAAGGAUUAGGUUCGAUUGUCAUGUCUUGAUUGUCAAAGUGUGGGACUUUGAUUUGGGUCUUUUGUCUCUUUUGUCUCUACAUACCCUCCUUCCCAUCCCAGCACCU